rnacentral:sRNA from 1 species
GUUUUUUGAGUUAUGAGUCCAUGAGUUUGCUCAAUUUGAGCUUAAUACUGAAAACACGGUUCUGUAGAAUCGAAAAAACAAAUUCGGAUAAAGGAUAUAUCACAUAAUAUUUGUUUCGUUUUUCGUUGUUUUGUCGACGGAUCAUGGAAAGGAAAUGACAAGUUUUAUGGAUAAGAGUGAUUUUGCACCUUAUUAAAUAGGAAGUCGCUAACCAUGGGAGUUGCUAAUUUGCGUAGAAGUCUAUCUCCACUACAUAAAGAAGUCGAAGCUGUACUCUGGAUGAUGAAGUGUAUGAUUGGUGCCGACAACCAAAAAAUAACUUUUUUUACAGACUGUUCAGACUUGGUGAAGAUGGUGUUUUCUCCAACCGAAUGAUUAGCAUUUUCAAUAUAUGUGGAAGAGUUCUAGAGCGACAAGGAAAAAUUCACAAGUUUCCCUAUAUUUUUAAAUUCUCGAACUGCAAAUGUUAUAGCGGACAAUUUGAUAAGAAAAAUUCAUACUGAACCGUUACAUAUUACAUAUGGAAAUAAUUUAUUUAAAAAUUGGCUUUUCUAAC